CUCGUAGGUGGUUUGUCGCGUUGUCCGUGAAAUUCCCUGGCUUAACUGGGGGCGUGCGGGCGAUACGGGCAGACUGGAGUACUGCAGGGGAGACUGGAAUUCCUGGUGUAGCGGUGGAAUGCGCAGAUAUCAGGAGGAACACCGGUGGCGAAGGCGGGUCUCUGGGCAGUAACUGACGCUGAGGAGCGAAAGCGUGGGGAGCGAACA
rnacentral:rRNA from 1 species